GGGGUUGUAGCUUAGUGGUAGAGCACUCACCUAGCAUGUGUGAGGCACUGGGUUCAAUCCCCAGCACCACUU
rnacentral:tRNA from 1 species